rnacentral:rRNA from 1 species
UUGAUCUCAAAUCAGGUAGGACUACCCGCUGAACUUAAGCAUAUCAAUAAGCGGAGGAAAAGAAACUAACAAGGAUUCCCCUAGUAACUGCGAGUGAAGCGGGAAGAGCUCAAAUUUAAAAUCUGACGUGCCUCUGGUCGUCCGAGUUGUAGUCUGGAGAAGCGUUUUCCGUG